AUUGAACGCUGGCGGCAGGCCUAACACAUGCAAGUCGAGCGAGCGGCGGACGGGUGAGUAAUGUAUGGGGACUGCCCGAUAGAGGGGGAUAACUACUGGAAACGGUAGCUAAUACCGCAUACUAUCGGAUAACCCAUAUGGGAUUAGCUAGUAGGUGAGGUAAUGGCUCACCUAGGCGACGAUCCCUAGCUGGUCUCAGAGGAUGAUCAGCCCCCCUGGGACUGAGACACGGCCCAGAUACAUCUACACUCACAACUUCAUAAUAUUACACAAUGACCGCAAGCCUGAUUCAGCCAUGCCGCGUGUAUGAAGAAUACCCUAGGGUUUUAACGUACUUUCAGUCGGGAGGCGUUACCGACAGAAGAAGCACCGGCUAACUCCGUGCCAGCAGCCGCGGUAAUUC
rnacentral:rRNA from 1 species